GAAUAUUGGACAAUGGGGGGAACCCUGAUCCAGCCAUGCCGCGUGUGUGAAGAAGGCCUUUUGGUUGUAAAGCACUUUAAGCGCGGAGGAGGCUACUCUAGUUAAUACCUAGAGAUAGUGGACGUUACUCGCCGAAUAAGCCCCGGCUCACCCUGUUCCAGCAGCCACGGUAACACAGAGGGUGCAAUCGUUAAUCGGAUUUACUGGGCGUAAAGAGCGCGUAGGUGGCCAAUUAAGUCAAAUGUGAAAUCCCCGAGCUUAACUUGGGAAUUGCAUUCGAUACUGGUUGGCUAGAGUAUGGGAGAGGAUGGUAGAAUUCCAGGUGUAGCGGUGAAAUGCGUAGAGAUCUGGAGGAAUACCGAUGGCGAAGGCAGCCAUCUGGCCUAAUACUGACACUGAGGUGCGAAAGCAUGGGGAGCAAAC
rnacentral:rRNA from 1 species